rnacentral:rRNA from 1 species
UACGUAGGGUGCGAGCGUUAAUCGGAAUUACUGGGCGUAAAGCGUGCGCAGGCGGUUCGUUAUGUCCGAUGUGAAAGCCCCGAGCUCAACUUGGGAAUGGCAUUGGAAACUGGCGGGCUGGAGUGUGGCAGAGGGGGGUGGAAUUCCACGUGUAGCAGUGAAAUGCGUAGAGAUGUGGAGGAACACCGGUGGCGAAGGCGGCCUUCUGGACAGUGACUGACGCUGAGACGCGAAAGCGUGGGGAGCAAACAGG